CUGCAUUAUCUUAUACAGUAAGAAAGAAAUGCAAAGAUGGAAGCAAAAGGAUGCUAGAAAAUUGGAGUCUCCUUCUUACAAUCUGCAGCAUUAUCAUAACAUCAACCCUAGCUGUCGUUUUAAAGCUGCAUUGGGAUUAUGUUAACAAGCAGGAAGCACCUGAACUGAAUUGGACUGCACACUAUACAAGUUCUGUGAUCGUGAGGACUACCUCCAAGAACCAUCUCAAAAGGAGAGACACAGUUCACAGUGAAAUGAUUGCUAAUGUGACCUACACUGGUAUUUCACAAGGAACCUAUUGAGAUUAUUCCAAAAACCGAUUAUACAUGAGAAAGAUGUGAUUGGCAAAGCAUGCUGGAAACAGAAAAAGACGGGACAGAUGCUAGUGAAAGACUUUGGAUGCACCUAUGAAGGUGAUUAAGAAAAGACUUUGCCAUAUAGUUUAUCAUUGAGUGACUACCGCAAACAGCCUUCUUAUGCUGAAAAGAAGUGCUAUGCUAAUUCUGGACAUUGUUAUUAUGUUUCCAGACAGAAGAUGAAUGGAAAAAUAAAUAAAGGCUGAUAACUGUCAACACCCAGCUGUUUCUCAAGAUGGAACAUGUUACUGACAAAACCAGAUUGACUAUCAAAGCACCUCACAGUACAAGACACAGAUUGUUAACUACAACUCAGAAAAAGUGGUUAAUAGGAAGGAUCAGAAGAAGAGGAAUAUAGAUUUCCUACUGGAGAGAAAAACCAUCCUGGAACAAUAUUCUGCAACAAUGAACUUUACAAUGACAUUUGGUGGCAUAUGAAUUUGAAUUUGGUAGAAACACAUCAAUUAACUAAAGAAACCUUGAUGCAAUUAAUAAAUGAUAACAAGACCGGCCUACUAAGAGCAGAUGCCCUGCCAAGAGAAUGGAAUAUAAAAGGCCAGCAAAACCUGUCAGAAACCUGACAUCACGGGACACUUGUACUAAAGCACGAUUUGCAGCUUUUCUUAAACUCUACAUAUUAUGUACAUACCUGCAAAGCAAGGAACUCAUGUAAACAUAAACACAGAGACAUUGAUACAACAAGGAAUCUGUAAUGGUUCUGUUGCAGAUGUGAUCUACCGUCGUACUCCUUGCUCUUUUGGUAUAACUCUACCAAUCAAAACGUUAAAUGGCUCCAUAGAAUCAAAC